CAGAAGAAAGCCGUUACAGAACCACCCACCACAAAAGGACCAAGCAGCGUGGUAAUGGGCAUCAGCACCGAUGUCAGGAUUUCUGGACAUGGGAGCAAAAUCUGGACUGUGUCACUACUUGGGAGGAGAUAGACAGGUGGGCGGUCGACCCAGGGAGAGUGUCGCAGCCCGCCUGGGAUUCUCUGGAGCAGUGGGAGGAGGGAUACCGGCGAAUGGAAUCAGCACGGCGGCACGGUAGGAAGCCUGAGAGGCAGCCCCAAAAAUGUGUUGGAGGGGCACACAGGGAGUGUGGCGAAGCCAGGUAGGAGACAUGUGCCAACUUCCUGUGCUUACCAGAGAGAGAGAGAGAGAUGGUACACUUAGCUAGCUACCCACUUCGCUGACAGCAAACAGCUCACCCACACGACGCGGUACAAGUGGUCUGCAAUUGUGAGGGCGGUUGGACAUACUCCCAAAUUCUCUACAACAGCGUUGGAGGCGGCUUGUGGUGGAGAAAUGAACAUUCAAUUCUCUGGAAACAGCUCUGGUGGACAGUCCUGCAGUUAGCAUGCCAAUUGCACGCUCCUUCAAAACUUUAGACAUCUGUGGCAUUGUGUUAUGUGACAAAACUGCACAUUUUAGAAUGGCCAUUUAUUGUCCCCAGCACAAGGUGCACCUGUGUAAUGAUCAUGCUGUUUAAUUAGCUUCUUGAUAUGCCACACCUGUCAGGAAAAGGAGAAUUGCUCACUAACAGGGAUGUAAACAAAUUUGUGUACAAAAUCGGAGAGAAAUGAGCUUUUUGUGUGUAUGGAAAUUUAUGGUAUCUUUUAUUUCAGCUCGUGAAGCAUGGGACCAACACUUUUUACAUGUGUUUAUAUUUUUGUUCAGUGUGUGUUACCUUGAUUUUGCACCUCAAGGUUUUUUUUCUGAAAAUAUUUAGCAAUCUCCAUGACAGUAGCUAAAACAAGGGGCUAUAGAAGAACACAAGUAGCAUACAAAUGCAUGCUGGGCCGGGCAUGCCCUGAGCUGGUGAAGUGAAUACUAUUGGCGGUACUGGAGCGAAAUUGGAGUGGGAGAGAUGGCCAACACUCUAGCCUUUGGGAAACUCCCUCCACGUUCCAGUCAAAUUGGGCACACUCCGCUCCAGGUUCGCUCCGCUCACAUAGGUCUACUCUGAUCUGUACCCACUGUGAAUACCAACCACUUAUAUUGUCCACCAGGUGUCAGUAAAGGACAACAGUAGAACAACCAACACUUCAAUGCACUGAGGGACUGUCAUUGAGCUGAAAAAGUGAAUAGAUAGUGUAUCACUAUGGAGUGCAGUGAUAUGUUUGGUAAACUUGUUGAACAUGCCAGAACACCAAACGGUCAGUAACCCCACUCUUCCUUCCUUGUCAAGACUAGACACUAUGUCUCUUGAAAAGGAAACUGAAACCACACUGAAACUACAAUGCACACUGUCAUUAAAGGCACACUCUUCAGGAAUGGAGGAAGCAGAGUGAUGGCAUGUUGAAGUUGACAAGCCAGUGGGGUUGGUGGAUCUUGUGAUUAGGAUGCCACACUCCUUAAUUAGUGAAUACCCUCAAAGACUGGGCAAACAUAAAACAUGUUAAAAAUGACAUUUUAACAUGCAAAUAACAAUUGAUUUACGUUGAUACAUUUUUAGUUCUUAAGUAAUGAUUCAAAAUGAGAGUUCAUCAGAGCGGCCAGCACGCAGGCUCUUUCAACAUGAUGGCAAAUCCAGCCCUCUGAUUUUGUAACGGUUCCGUAACCACAGAUGCUGGGAGAAGGGAAGGAAGUAAAGGGUGAGUAUUUAAUAAUACAUAGAGAAGAAACUAAACAAGAACAGCAUCUGGACAAGAGAAAAAAACAACAUCAAUGCAGACACGGGGAUGACACUGAGGAAGUGACAGAUAUAAGGGAGGCAAACAAUGACCGUGAUGGAGUCCAGGUGAGUCCGAUGAAGUGCUGGUGCGCGUAACGAUGGUGACAGGUGUGCGUAAUGAUGAGCAGCUUUGGGUGUGCCGACACUCACACAUGAUGCUUUUUUUCUAACAGAAUGUAACAUGUCUGUCUAACCUGUGUAUAUUUAACCCCCUCGCUCAUGUUCCCAAGUGACUCCCCCAAGCUGGUGCGCUACAUCCAUGACCGGGGACUGAAGCUGGUUGUCUACUGGGACAUGGGCACACACACACACGUGUGGGGUUGACCCUGGUACCCCCUUGGACAAGAUCACUAUAGAUGCUCAGACUUUUGAUGACUGGAAAGUGGACAUGCUGAAGUUUGAUGGCUGUUACCCCAACGCUACAGAGCAGGAGCAGGAGCAGGGCUCUGAAAUCUACCAGACACCUCAUUGGUUACUGCUGCAGUUGGCCCGCCUACCAGGGUGGACUCCUUCCCUAGGCGAACUACAACCAGCUAGAAGAGAUCUACAACCUGUGGCGUAACUAUGGCAACAUAAAGGACUCAUGGGCUUAUUGUGCUGAGCAUCACUGAUUGGUUCUUCAACAAGCAAGAUGUCCCUACAGCCUACUCUCUCUCUCUCUCUCUCUCUCUCUCUCUCUCUCUCUCUCUCUCUCUCUCUCUCACACCAUUCUUUUGCUUAUUUCUGUCUUUCUAUAUAUAUUUUGUUGGGUAGGUAGGUUAAGUGAUAUAUUUUAGUGGUUGUCAUGGUUGUCGUGAUGGAGACCAGGCAGUGAAUUAUCCGGUUUAGGUAGGUUUAAUAACUCUUCAAUCAGACAAUUAACAUGGAGUCCACCGAGCUACUGGUCCUCAUUGCUAGUGUCGUAACGUGACUUAUUUAUUAAAUGUGAAGACUGUUGCAUUAUCAAAUCAAUUCUCUAUAAUUAUUCUGUGAUUAAAUUAAUCACGGAAUAGUAAUUAACUAGGAAGUUGGGGCACCAUCGGAAAAUGUUGUUUAUAGACUUACAAUUUCCCAAAUAUAACUCUUCAGAUAUUUUAUCGAUUACAGUCUUCUAUUAAUGUAUUAUUACCUCAUCAGUCUCAUUCCUGAAUGUCACAAACCCUUGGAUAUCUGCACGAAUCCUGACAUAAAUCAUAAAUCAGAGAUAUACAAAUUGGCUUAAUUAUUUAUUUACUAAGUAACAAAUCAAUUACAGGAACACACCUAGAGUAGGUCAUACAUUGGUUACUAACAUGUGGCAAAGAAAAGUCCCUAGUGGACAAAACCGAUAUGACGGCUUGGUAGACAAAGGAAAGGGGUGGGUACAGCUCAAGAGGGGUAAAUUCAGAUUUUAUAACGAUACUCAUGGAAAUGCUAAUACUUUGAACAUGAGCAACCGCUCAUUCGAAAAUAAAUGGCAAUUUACAUAUGUACUUUGUUGUCCCUCUCUGCGAACACCGGUCCGUCUACUGGAUAGAUUGUAAAGUCUCUGGUUCGUCCACCAGAGAUCAGUCUUUCGUAGUUGUCGUUUUCUCAGCUGGCUCUGGAUAGUGUCUGUUGUAAUGGAUACGUCAGACGUACUAUUCGGUCGUUCGACCGGUAGCGUUUACCAGACUAAAGUACAGCUACAGCCUGAAUAAUUGUUCUUUAGUUUGUAGAUUUCUUAGCCAUUUCAACGUAGAAAGGAUCUCUAUGUUCUCUGGUAUUAUCCUUUGGAGUUGCUAACCAUUUCAACAUGUAACGACAGCUUCCAUGUUUUCUGGUCUACUGUAAAUUUAUACAACAUUCAGAUGCAAACCCCAUAAUUGAGAAUUGUAUACAAAUAAAGAAACACUAAUGUA